GACGAACGCUGGCGGCGUGCUUAACACAUGCAAGUCGAGCGGUAAGGCCCUUUCGGGGGUACACGAGCGGCGAACGGGUGAGUAACACGUGGGUGACCUGCCCUCAGCUCUGGGAUAAGCCUGGGAAACCGGGUCUAAUACUGGAUAUGACUCCAUGACGCAUGUUGUGGGGUGGAAAGCCUUGUGCGGCUGAGGAUGGGCCCGCGGCCUAUCAGCUUGUUGGUGGGGUGANGGCCUACCAAGGCGACGACGGGUAGCCGGCCUGAGAGGGCGACCGGCCACACUGGGACUGAGACACGGCCCAGACUCCUACGGGAGGCAGCAGUGGGGAAUCUUGCGCAAUGGGGGAAACCCUGACGAAGCAACGCCGCGUGGAGGAUGAAGGCCUUCGGUCGUAAC
rnacentral:rRNA from 1 species